AUUGAACGCUGGCGGCAUGCCUUACACAUGCAAGUCGAACGGUAACAGGGAGCUUGCUCCGCUGACGAGUGGCGAACGGGUGAGUAAUGUAUCGGAACGUACCAUUCAGUGGGGGAUAACGUAGCGAAAGUUACGCUAAUACCGCAUAUUCUGUGAGCAGGAAAGCAGGGGAUCGCAAGACCUUGCGCUGAUUGAGCGGCCGAUAUCAGAUUAGCUAGUUGGUGAGGUAAAGGCUCACCAAGGCGACGAUCUGUAGCGGGUCUGAGAGGAUGAUCCGCCACACUGGAACUGAGACACGGUCCAGACUCCUACGGGAGGCAGCAGUGGGGAAUUUUGGACAAUGGGGCAACCCUGAUCCAGCCAUGCCGCGUGAGUGAAGAAGGCCUUCGGUUGUAAGACUCUUUCGUCCGGGAAAACGUACGACAUCAGUUAAUACCUACGUGUGGAGUGAUGGUACCGGAAGUAAGAAGACACCGGCUAACUACGUAGCCACG
rnacentral:rRNA from 1 species